rnacentral:rRNA from 1 species
UAGACCGCCUGGGGAGUACGGCCGCAAGGUUAAAACUCAAAUGAAUUGACGGGGGCCCGCACAAGCGGUGGAGCAUGUGGUUUAAUUCGAUGCAACGCGAAGAACCUUACCUGGUCUUGACAUCCACAGAACUUUCCAGAGAUGGACUGGUGCCUUCGGGAACUGUGAGACAGGUGCUGCAUGGCUGUCGUCAGCUCGUGUUGUGAAAUGUUGGGUUAAGUCCCGCAACGAGCGCAACCCUUAUCCUUUGUUGCCAGCGGUCCGGCCGGGAACUCAAAGGAGACUGCCAGUGAUAAACUGGAGGAAGGUGGGGAUGACGUCAAGUCAUCAUGGCCCUUACGACCAGGGCUACACACGUGCUACAAUGGCGCAUACAAAGAGAAGCGACCUCGCGAGAGCAAGCGGACCUCAUAAAGUGCGUCGUAGUCCGGAUUGGAGUCUGCAACUCGACUCCAUGAAGUCGGAAUCGCUAGUAAUCGUGGAUCAGAAUGCCACGGUGAAUACGUUCCCGGGCCUUGUACACACCGCCCGUCACACCAUGGGAGUGGGUUGCAAAAGAAGUAGGUAGCUUAACCUUCGGGAGGGCGCUUACCACUUUGUGAUUCAUGACUGGGGUGAAGUCGUAACAAGGUAACCGUAGGGGAACCUGCGGUUGGAUCACCUCCUUACCUUAAAGAA